rnacentral:rRNA from 1 species
AUUGAACGCUGGCGGCAUGCUUUACACAUGCAAGUCGAACGGCAGCACGGGGGCAACCCUGGUGGCGAGUGGCGAACGGGUGAGUAAUAUAUCGGAACAUGUCCGGAAGUGGGGGAUAACGUACCGAAAGGUACCUAAURCCGCAUAUGCCCUGAGGGGGAAAAGGGGGGGAUCGCAAGACCUCUCGCUUUCGGAGUGGCCGAUAUCGGAUUAGCUAGUUGGUGAGGUAAAGGCUCACCAAGGCGACGAUCCGUAGCUGGUCUGAGAGGACGACCAGCCACACUGGAACUGAGACACGGUCCAGACUCCUACGGGAGGCAGCAGUGGGGAAUUUUGGNCAAUGGGCGCAACUGGAUCCAGCCAUGCCGCGUGAGUKAAGAAGGCCUUCGGGUUGUAAAGCUCUUUCAGCCGGAAAGAAAUUGCUUCUAUUAAUACUAGGAGUAGAUGACGGUACCGGAAGAAGAAGCACCGGCUAACUACGUGCCARCAGCCGCGGUAAUACGUAGGGUGCGAGCGUUAAUCGGAAUUACUGGGCGUAAAGCGUGCGCAGGCGGUUUNGUAAGACAGACGURAAAUCCCCGGGCUUAACCUGGGRACUSCGUUUGUGACUGUCAGACUAGAGUGUAGCAGAGGRGGGUAGAAUUCCACGUGUAGCAGUGAAAUSCGUAGAUAUKUGGAGGAAUACCAAUGGCGAAGGCAGCCCCCUGGGUUAACACUGACGCUCAUGCACGAAAGCGUGGGGAGCAAACAGGAUUAGAUACCCUGGUAGUCCACGCCCUAAACGAUGUCAACUAGGUGUUGGGGAAGGAGACKUCUUUAGUACCGGCACUAACGCGUGAAGUUGACCCCCUGGGGAGUACGGUCGCAAGAUUAAAACUCAAAGGAAUUGACGGGGACCCGCACAAGCGGUGGAUUAUGUG